rnacentral:rRNA from 1 species
ACGCUCGACACCUACGGAGGCAGCAGUGAGGGAUAUUGGUCAAUGGGGGAAACCCUGAACCAGCAACGCCGCGUGAGGGAUGACGGUCUUCGGAUUGUAAACCUCUGUCCUCUGUGAAGAUAAUGACGGUAGCAGAGGAGGAAGCUCCGGCUAACUACGUGCCANCAGCCGCGGUAAUCUGAGCGGGCUGGCAAGGC